rnacentral:rRNA from 1 species
GUCCACGCCGUAAACGGUGGAUGCUGGAUGUGGGGACCAUUCCACGGUCUCCGUGUCGGAGCCAACGCGUUAAGCAUCCCGCCUGGGGAGUACGGCCGCAAGGCUAAAAACUCAAAAGAAAUUGACGGGGGCCCGCACAAGCGGCGGAGCAUGCGGAUUAAUUCGAUGCAACGCGAAGAACCUUACCUGGGCUUGACAUGUUCCCGACAGCCCCAGAGAUGGGGCCUCCCUUCGGGGCGGGUUCACAGGUGGUGCAUGGUUGUCGU